CCCGGAAAGGGUGCGGAAACUUUUUCAGUUAAACUUCCCGAGGUAGGUGGACAGACUACUGCUCCCAGGAUCCUUAGCGCUAACAGGCGGGGGCGGAGUGCGGGGCUCCCGCGCAUGGCUCGCUGGGUAGUGUAGUUCUCUGCGGCCCCAGGCUGAAGGAACUGCGUACGCGGGGAAAUGCCGUUCGUCGUGGCCCAAUGCGGCUAUCCCUCUGAGAGGAUCCUGAAAUGUUGCUCCCAAGUCUCCCAGGAGCCUUCUCUUCUCCAGGCUGAACAGCAGCAGCUCUCUCAGCCUGUCCCCGUAAGGAAAAUGUUCCAUCCUUUGGAUCUUUUCUGUGGCCCUCCUCUGGAUGCACUCUGACAGGUCCACAUUUCUGCUGUACUGAGGACUCCACAUCUGGACUCCAGUGCUCCAGCUUGCCUGUUCAGAUGAUGAGCUUGGCCUUCCCUACUGACUGAAUAAAUGAGAAAGAAGCAUGAUUCCAUCAAUUCCAAGCAAGGACAGUAGGAGAAAUUCUGAAAUUACCAAACACUGCUAUAAGACCUGCAAGUGCAAAAGCACAAUGUUAGGCAACAGAAUUACUCGGCUGGCCAAGUGAGGUGUCUGUGGUACCUCCCAGAAGAGUGCUGGUGGAUGAGAUCUGCAGAUGAGUAUACGAUCAUAAAAAGCACAGGUCAUGGCCCUAUCACAACUCGUAUCUCCCUCUAGAGGGACACUGUUGUCAGGGGCAGAGAAAUUCCUGCAUCUCUUCAGCCCUGGGUGCUGCUGAGAUGGAAGAGAGGAGAGAGGAGUGUUUUAUUCCCUUUGGAAAAUCAGGGGGAGAAGUUUCUCCAGCACACGGCUCAAAGCACUUAGCUUCUCAGCACUGCCCUUGGGGAACCAGUCUGUUUCUGCUGCCUGUAGAGAUGGGCAGACAAGUUGGCCAAGGUAAAUACCCACCUCACUGGACUCUUUGGUAUUUAGAUACAUGUAUAAGAACAGUAUUAUACAAAAUAACAUCUAAACAAUACUUCUCUAACUCACUAUCAGUGCAGCAAACAGGAAUGCUGUUCUUCCCCCUCCUCCUCCUCAUUUCAUUUGUACAACUGCCACCCUGGGUAUUGUAACUGCUUGGUUACUACUGAAAAUUUAGGCAGUAUCCACGUAUGGUGCACCUGCUGUUUUGAUAAGUUUGUCAGGCAUGUCCACGAAGACUACCCCUACUGUGCUGGCCUAAUGGCAUUAGGGUACCACUGACACUUCUGAUCCACUCCAGCUGCUCUUGGCAUUACUCCAAGAAAGGCAUCUCUAAUGGGGAGGCAUGUUAGAGAAGUUGAACAAAAGGAAAGGCACUGGCAUCUUCUUAUCAAAAUGUGACGUGCUUGUUCCAGCUGACACCUCAGAAUUGCUUAGGUUAUAGUGUUAUUACUUAAAUUACCCAAUUGUGGAAGCAGUAAAUACAGUUCUGGGAACAACAUGGUCUGGGUGGAAUUAAGUGCGAAACACCUCCUACACAGCAAGAUACCUGCCUCUGGAUGGAUGGAGUGCAUGUGGGAGAUACUGCUUACUGCCAGUUGACAUGUGAAAUUAUGACUACUAUUUGUCACUCUUUCAGUCAUAAAGCAAGUUGCUGAACGUUUUGCAGGAAAGAGAUGUACCUUGCCCCCAAAUAGAUGCACUUGGGACACUUACAAUGAAGUCUGCAAUCUAUUACGUGAUUGCCUUUCCCUGGCUGAGAAUACCAACCUGAACCUGUGCUGUAAAAUUAAGUGCAUCAUAACCUGCUCUAGAGCAUCUGACCUCCUCAGAUGUCAUUAAAAGCAAGUGAAGCAUUUCAGCAUGUCUAUAGGGUCCACGUAAUGCAGGACACAGAUUGGGAAUCUCAUGGCUAUCAGCCUCUCAGCGCCAGUUGCGUAUCCCAACACACUUUGCAAUAGCAAGUUUUUAGGGUCUGAUGAAGCAGAAAUAGACAGAGGCAUAUUGCUUUAGGAAAAGUGGGAAGGUAAUUUAGCUGUCAGGACAAAUAAGGUGGGGGGCGAUUUAUAGCAUUAAGUGGAAUAGGAGAGAAAAGGGAAGUCAAAUAUGAUCUUCAGUUUAAUCAGCCAGAAGGAAAGAGAAAAAAUGGUGUUGUUGGGUGUAUUAGUUAACGGAGGUAAUAGCAAGAGUUUAAAGGAAAGUGACUGCUCUGGGAAGCUCAAUCUGAAAAGUACAGUUUCUGAGCUGCCUGAGUGGAAAUUCAAAUAACAUUUUAAGCAACAGUAAAUAGAUGAAAGGCAUAAGUGAAUUAUAGAAUAGUGCCCCUGAUAUGAACUGAGGUCUGCCAAUGUGGAUAAAUAAUAAACGUAGUUUGCGCUCUCCAAAAGAAACAAUGAUCAAACUGAGACCUCAGAAAGAUGGUGAAGGUGCAAGAAGACAGAUGCUAGCAAGAUGUACAGGAUAGUUUCAAUUCUGCCUUAGCCAAAAAUCAUCAGUUGAUAGGAAAAAUAAAAUCUGGAGAAGGAUUCCAAAAUAUUGGAACAAUUGAGAAGAAGAAGAGGGUACCUUCAGAGAGGGAAACACUCAGGAGAGCGCCCAGAGAGGUGAAAACAAGUUACAGAAAGAAAACGGAAAUGUGGUGGGAGAUGAAAAAGAAGUAAAAUUUUGUACGCUCAUGCAGGUGGAAAUAAUUUGAAAGCAGUUUCCACGGAGACAAAGGAUAUGAGAUGGAAGUAAGUGGGGAGGGAAAAAUUAAUGUGAGAGAGGUGUGUAAACAGGAGGGAGUGAAAAGAAAUGGAGCAGGAAAGGCAGAUGAGCCUCGGAGAAUGUAUUUCAUGAAGACAAGAGUGUUACUGAAACUGGAAUUAAGGUAGGUGAGGAAGAAGGAAAUGUUUAUGGAUCAGGCUAGAGAGAGCUGAAGAAGUUGGAGCUGGUUUUAAGGCCUGAAAUGAGAAGCAUGAUAAGUUAAUUCAAACCAACUUAAGAGUUGCACAGAUUCAGAAAGAGCAGAAAAAAAUAGGAAGAUCUACUUUUGCACGUAGGGAGUUCUUCAACCAGAAUGUUUUCAGGUUAAUUCCCAUCUGAUGUCCAUUCUGCAUUAAGCUGACCAUGGCAGCAUCUUCUUGCAUCUAAAAUCUGGGCAGUGGUUUGGUAGUCAAGGAGAAGCAAUGUGCCCAUGGCCUUGAGCAGAGAGGUAAGAACUCACUGCAUGAUGGAGAGCAGAACUCAUGGAAGGCUUUCUGGAAACCAACAGGCAAAGUGCUUCUUAGAGACUGAGAAAGCCAUUGGAGUGGCCGUCAGCUGCAACUCACAGAACUAGAUUGCCAGAGAUGUUAGAACAGCUUCCAAUGGACAACAGCCUAUUCCCCACCCUACCCAGUCAGGAUUUCCCUGAUUUAUUCCAUUAAGGACUCUAUGCAGCAGCCAGCACGGAAAAUAUCCAUUUGACCUUACUCCUUCCUAACAUCAAUGCACAAAUAAUAGCUUGGAGGCAGAGAAGUGCCACUUGCUGGCCUCCAGCUGGAGGACUCCAUGCUGGGGCACAGCCAGGGUGAGGAUGCAAAAGGAAAAAUGUGCCACCCGUAAAUCCCAUUGUACGAUCAGCCCCAAGUGCCAACAGUCAGCAGCAUGAAUGUGCCACACUGCUAGUGCUGCCAUGACCAAAGCAAGGUGCUAAAUUGCUCUGCUUUAGCUGAAAUCACUGAUAUAUCUGACUAAAAAAUACAUGAUUAUAACUGCUCCUUUGUGUGCCUUUCCAUGUUCAUUUGAAAGAAGUAUGGCAGAAUAUAAAACACAGCAACAUCCCCCAAGCCCAGAGGGUUUAAUGAAGAAUUAAGGAGAUUGUAACUGCAUAGCUGAAAUAAUAAGGAGGAAAUUGAAUUAUUCCACCCAUAUUAAAUGCAUAUAUUCUUGAGUGUUUCUGCCAAAAUUACUCUGCUAACCCAUGGUGUGAAAUACAGUCUGUUUUCACAUGGGUGCAUUAAACAAAGAUGCCUGCUACAGUACAACAGCUUUGAAGAGAAUGGAAAGGCAUCAGGAUGAAAAAGCACUCCUGACGUAUGGUUAUAUCAACUCUAAAUUGUCUCACAGCUGUUUCUAGCUCCAUUAGAUGGAAGACUGGGUAAUUUAUAGAAGUCAUUUUUAACAAUUUGAUUGUUGGUAUAUAUCUGCUGAAUUGAUUGGCUGGGAAGACAGAUCUUUAUUUUAUAAUAGCAAUAACAUCCUUUGCAGAUUACUGCUCAAUUUAUCCCUGAUAUUAACAGUGCUAGCCAUCAACUAUUCAUUUAUAUUAUGCUGUUAUUUCUUAAUUAUCAGUAUAAUUGUAGAGGAGAGCCCAGGAUCCAUAAGACUAGCUGGGCUGGACAAGAAACCACAGAAGCUGGGACUCGUUCCUUUCUGAUAUGCUCACAGCUUUGGCUGAGAUCAACAGGAAUUAAACACUCAGGUUUGGAGUUUUGUUCAGAAGUUUGCUAAUCUUCUGUGAGCUAGAGUGAUAUUUCCCACUGAAGUCAAUGAGAAUUCUGUUCGGAUGAGAACGAUAUAUGUAGUGUACCCCAGUUCUGCAUCUAAUGAUGCUGGAGGCAAUUGUCCUGGAAAAGAAUGAGCUUCCUUCAAAUCAGAAGUCUGUGAUAGGCACAUAGGGACACUCAUAGAUGACCAGACCAUCAGGCCAUGUAACUCUUAACUGUUGUCUUUGAGGGCAGCCAGUAGUGGUUGGCUCCAAGGAGGCUUAGCUGUGACCUACUAUACAUCUUGGGAAGAGUGUGUUCCCAGCCUUUCAGAAUGAGGACAUGGCUUAUACACUGAAGCUUGAAUAUAUAUAUUCUUUCCCGAGUUCUUCUGGAAAUCUGUGUUUAUUUCAAACAUGUUAUGUUAACUUCUGUGUGUAUCCACUACUGUGUUUGAGUGCAGAUUAACUAAUAAAUCCUUGAUGAA